GAUGAACGCUGGCGGCGUGCUUAACACAUGCAAGUCGAACGAAGCAUUUAGGACAGAUUACUUCGGUUUGAAGUUCUUUAUGACUGAGUGGCGGACGGGUGAGUAACGCGUGGGUAACCUGCCUUGUACUGGGGGAUAGCAGCUGGAAACGGCUGGUAAUACCGCAUAAGCGCACAAUGUUGCAUGACAUGGUGUGAAAAACUCCGGUGGUAUAAGAUGGACCCGCGUCUGAUUAGCUAGUUGGUGAGAUAACAGCCCACCAAGGCGACGAUCAGUAGCCGACCUGAGAGGGUGACCGGCCACAUUGGGACUGAGACACGGCCCAGACUCCUACGGGAGGCAGCAGUGGGGAAUAUUGCACAAUGGAGGAAACUCUGAUGCAGCGACGCCGCGUGAGUGAAGAAGUAAUUCGUUAUGUAAAGCUCUAUCAGCAGGGAAGAUAGUGACGGUACCUGACUAAGAAGCUACGGCUAAAUACGUG
rnacentral:rRNA from 1 species